rnacentral:rRNA from 1 species
GACGAACGCUGGCGGCGUGCCUAAUACAUGCAAGUAGAACGCUGAAGGAGGAGCUUGCUCUUCUGGAUGAGUUGCGAACGGGUGAGUAACGCGUAGGUAACCUGCCUGGUAGCGGGGGAUAACUAUUGGAAACGAUAGCUAAUACCGCAUAAGAGUAGAUGUUGCAUGACAUUUACUUAAAAGGUGCAAUUGCAUCACUACCAGAUGGACCUGCGUUGUAUUAGCUAGUUGGUGGGGUAACGGCUUACCGAGGCGACGAUACAUAGCCGACCUGAGAGGGUGAUCGGCCACACUGGGACUGAGACACGGCCCAGACUCCUACGGGAGGCAGCAGUAGGGAAUCUUCGGCAAUGGACGGAAGUCUGACCGAGCAACGCCGCGUGAGUGAAGAAGGUUUUCGGAUCGUAAAGCUCUGUUGUAAGAGAAGAACGAGUGUGAGAGUGGAAAGUUCACACUGUGACGGUAUCUUACCAGAAAGGGACGGCUAACUACGUG